AGUAAAUAGAUACCCGGGUAGUCCACGCUGUAAACGAUGGAUACUAGGUGUAACCGGUCUCGACCCCGGUUGUGCCGCAGCUAAACGCAUUAAGUAUCCCGCCUGGGGAGUAUGGCCGCAAGGUUGAAACUCAAAGGAAUUGACGGGGGCCCGCACAAGUGGUGGAGGAUGUGGUUUAAUUCGACGCAACGCGAAGAACCUUACCAAGGCUUGACAUCCACAGAACCUGCUAGAAAUAGUGGGGUGUCCGAAAGGAAACUGUGAGACAGGUGGUGCAUGGCUGUCGUCAGCUCGUGUCGUGAGAUGUUGGGUUAAGUCCCGCAACGAGCGCAACCCUCGAUGUUAGUUACCAUCAUUAAGUUGGGGACUCUAACGUGACUGCCGGUGAUAAGCCGGAGGAAGGUGAGGACGACGUCAAGUCAUCAUGCCCCUUACGUCUUGGGCUACACACGUCCUACAAUGGCAUAGACAAAGGGCUGCAAGCUAGCGAUAGUGAGCGAAUCCCAUAAACUAUGUCUCAGUUCGGAUUGCAGGCU
rnacentral:rRNA from 1 species